GAUGAACGCUGGCGGCAGGCUUAACACAUGCAAGUCGAGCGCCCCGCAAGGGGAGCGGCAGACGGGUGAGUAACGCGUGGGAACGUACCCUUUGCUACGGAAUAGCUCCGGGAAACUGGAAUUAAUACCGUAUGUGCCCUACGGGGGAAAGAUUUAUCGGCAAAGGAUCGGCCCGCGUUGGAUUAGCUAGUUGGUGGGGUAAUGGCCUACCAAGGCGACGAUCCAUAGCUGGUCUGAGAGGAUGAUCAGCCACAUUGGGACUGAGACACGGCCCAAACUCCUACGGGAGGCAGCAGUGGGGAAUAUUGGACAAUGGGCGCAAGCCUGAUCCAGCCAUGCCGCGUGAGUGAUGAAGGUCUUAGGAUUGUAAAGCUCUUUCACCGAUGAAGAUAAUGACGGUAGUCGGAGAAGAAGCCCCGGCUAACUUCGUGCCAGCAGCCGCCGUAACAC
rnacentral:rRNA from 1 species